AUCGAGGGAAAAAUAAAGUUUACGAGGAAUAGGCUCGAUUGUUAAAAAUUUUGUACCGAGUUUUUAACAAGCCGGCUUGAGAAUUGGGAUAGGUCGAAGACUCGUUCACACUAUCCGAAGGCCUAAAUUGGUAAAAUGGCUUGUGUGUUUUGAAUGUGGCAUGUAUGGCAAAAUACUCACUUUGUGUAAAUGAUCUUAUGAUAUGGCUAUGGUUUGGAAAGAAAAGGGUUUGUAAAUGAUUAGCCAUUGGAAUGGCCAAUCUAAGUCAUAUUUGAUGUUAUGUAUGUUUAAAAUGCUAUUUAGUCCAUGAAAAUCCUUAGUAAA